rnacentral:rRNA from 1 species
AGUGAACGCUGGCGGCGUGCCUAAUACAUGCAAGUCGAGCGGCCAGACAAGGAGCUUGCUCCUCUACCGUUGGCGGCGGACGGGUGGGUAACACGUGGAUAACCUACCUCUUAGUCUUGGGUGACUUCGGGGGGCCAGAGCUAAUACCACCUAAUAUGUUCUACCGCAUAGUUCAAUAGUUCUAGGCAGUUUUCCUGUCUCUUUUAGAUGAUGCCGGGCCGGAUUAUCUAGUUGGUAAGGUAACGGCUUACCAAGGCAACGAUGCGUAGCUGACCUGAGAGGGUGAUCGGCCACACUGGAACUGAGACACGGUCCAGACUCCUACGGGAGGCAGCAGUAGGGAAUCUUCCGCAAUGGGCGAAAGCCUGACGGAGCAAUGCCGCGUGAGUGAUGAAGGUCUUCGGAUUGUAAAACCCUGUUAUUAGGGAAGAACAAAUGUGUAAGUAACUAUGCACGUCUUGACGGUACCUAAACAGAAAGCAACGGCUAACUACGUG